rfam:Nomascus leucogenys chromosome 10, whole genome shotgun sequence.
GCCAGGCGAGAUGGCUCACGCCUGUAAUCCCAGCUACUCAGGAGGCUGAAGCAGGAGAAUCGCUUGAACCCGGGUGGCCGAGGUUGCAGUGAGCUGAGAUCGUGCCACUGCAGUCUUCACCUGGGCGACAGAGCGAGACCCUGUCUCAA